GCCAUUUCUCGUGGAUGUCCUUCUCUAAGGGUUCUUUCCUUGUGGAAUUUGGCUACUGUUGGAGAUGGUGGUCUUUGUGAGAUUGCUGAGGGAUGUCACCAGCUACAGAAGCUUGACCUUUGCCACUGUCCUGCUAUUACUAAUGAGUCUUUGCUUUCCCUUGCAAAGGGCUGCCCUGAUUUGACUGAUCUGACCAUUGAAGGUUGUGCAAACAUUGGAAAUGAAGGUAUCCAAGCAAUAGCUCGCUGCUGUCCCAACCUAAAGUCUGUUUCGAUCAAAGAUUGCCCCCUCCUUGGAGACCAAGGAAUUGCAAGCCUUUUGACUUCAGCCUCAUAUUCCCU
rnacentral:lncRNA from 1 species